rnacentral:rRNA from 1 species
UACGGAGGGGGCUAGCGUUGUUCGGAAUUACUGGGCGUAAAGCGCACGUAGGCGGCUUUGUAAGUUAGAGGUGAAAGCCCGGGGCUCAACUCCGGAAUUGCCUUUAAGACUGCAUCGCUAGAACGUCGGAGAGGUAAGUGGAAUUCCGAGUGUAGAGGUGAAAUUCGUAGAUAUUCGGAAAGAACACCAGUGGCGAAGGCGACUUACUGGACGACUGUUGACACUGAGGUGCGAAAGCGUGGGGAGCAAACAGG